rnacentral:rRNA from 1 species
GGGUCAGUAGGUUGGUCGUGCCACCGGUACGUACUGGUCUCACUGAUUCCUCCUUCCUGAAGAACCGUAAUGCCAUUAAUUUGGUGCUGCGGGGAAACAGGACUGUUACUUUGAAAAAAUUAGAGUGUUUAAAGCAAGCUAACGCUUGAAUACAUUAGCAUGGAAUAAUGAAAUAGGACGAUCGAUCCUAUUUUGUUGGUCUCUAGGAUUGACGUA